AACGAACGCUGGCGGCAGGCUUAACACAUGCAAGUCGAACGGGCCCUUCGGGGUCAGUGGCAGACGGGUGAGUAACGCGUGGGAACGUGCCCUUCAGUUCGGGAUAACCCAGGGAAACUUGGGCUAAUACCGGAUACGUGCGAGAGCAGAAAGAUUUAUCGCUGAAGGAUCGGCCCGCGUCUGAUUAGCUGGUUGGUGGGGUAAUGGCCCACCAAGGCGACGAUCAGUAGCUGGUCUGAGAGGAUGAUCAACCACAUUGGGACUGAGACACGGCCCAAACUCCUACGGGAGGCAGCAGUGGGGAAUAUUGGACAAUGGGCGCAAGCCUGAUCCAGCCAUGCCGCGUGAGUGAUGACGGCCUUAGGGUUGUAAAGCUCUUUCGCACGCGACGAUAAUGACGGUAGCGUGAGAAGAAGCCCCGGCUAACUUCGUGCCAGCCGCCGCCGUAAAAC
rnacentral:rRNA from 1 species